UACAGAGGGGGCAAGCGUUGUCCGGAAUUACUGGGCGUACAGCGCGCGCAGGCGGUCCUGGACGUGCCGUGUGACAUCCGUCGGCUCAACCGACGGAGGCCAGGUACACGACAAGACUGGAGACAGAGAGAGGGAUGUGGAAUAACCCGGUGGAGCGGUGAAAUGCGUAGAGAUAUGGAGGAACACCAGUGGCGAAGGCGACUUUCUGGUCUGUGAACUGACACUGAGGCGCGAAAGAGCCGUGGGGGAGCAAACAGGG
rnacentral:rRNA from 1 species